rnacentral:ribozyme from 1 species
UGCCCAGCAACUCCUAUCCCUACCUCCUCAUGGUACGAGCAACCCUAGGGAAGAUCGGGUAACAAACCCCGGUGUGAAGUUUGGUCGUAUGCUGACAGGGAAGG